rnacentral:lncRNA from 1 species
ACAAAGUCUAGCACUACUGUCCUUGCCUUUGCCUUUUGUUUCUUGUCCCUCCUCAGUUUCGCUUACUCCAACACCACCGACGACAAAAUCUACCUCACCGGCCUGGUCUACUGUGACAACUGCCAAUUGAAGUCUAUGACCGAGAUCAGUAAGAUGAUUCCAGGUACGUAACGUUAAUAAGUAGGUAACAAACUACCUAAAUGUCGAUUAUAAGAUUUGAAUAUGAGAUUUAUGCAUGCAUGCAUGCACAUUGCCCAUUGAUCAGGUGCAAGGGUGCUAUUGGAGUGUAGGGAGGGGGGAACAUAAAAUCCAGCCAAGAGGCCGAAACCAACCAGCUUGGACUGUAUGUGUUUAAGUUGGACAAAUCUAAGGAGCAUGUGGAUGAUUGUCAAGUGACACUGCUACACAGCCCUGACCCUGUAUGCAAGAUUUCCCACGAAGUUGACCCGAACAACAAAUCGAAAACUGUGCCUGUGGCCACCCAGAAGCUCAACCUACUGGAAGGAGACAGCGUGGAUUUCAUCGCACCAAGCCACCUCGUUGCCUACCCUCUUGGUUUGGUCGUUGAGAAAGCUCAUCCCGAGUGUGAGCAGUUUGCCAAAGCGCGCAAGUGUUUUCAAAACUAAUUUAAGGAAUUGAAGACGAAAUGGAGACGAAAACCUUAUGAUAUUAAAUCAAUUUCCAAUUUCAGUGAAUUUUUCUGUUUGAUUGCAAAGAUAGAUAAAUUGUGGUUUAAGAAAUCAACAGUUACGAUUAUGAUAUAUGCACGGUUAUGAUUCGUGAAUUCACAACUAGUAUAAACAAGGAAGUGUAAUUAGAAG